GGGACUGCGGGUCUUACCAUGCAGUCGAACGAUGAACCGCUUUCGGGCGGAGAUAGUGGCAAACGGGUGAGUAACACGUGGGCAAUCUGCCGUGCUCUGUGGGACAAGCCGUGAAAACGGGGUCUAAUACCGGAUAUGAGUGUCCCCCGUGUGGGGUGUGGUGUAGAGCUCCGGGGGCGCGAGAUGAGCCCGCGCUCUAUCAUCGUGGUGGAGAGGUAGUGUCUCACCAGGGACACCACGGGGACCCGGUCUGAGAGGGAGACCGGACACUGUGGCUGUGACACACGGCCCACACUCCUACGGGAGGCAGCAGUGGAAAAUAUUGCACAGUGGGAAAAAGUGUGAUGCAGCCACCCCGCGUGAGGUAAGACGCUCUUCGGUGUGAAAACCUCUUUCAACGGGAAAAAAGCAAAUGUGACGGCCCCUGCAAAAAAAGCCCCGGAUAUCUACGUGCCAACACCCGCGAAAAUACAUAGGGCGCACGCGUUGUCCAGAAUUAUUGCGUGUAAAGAUCUCAGAGGCCUUUUGACGCCGCGUGUGUGAGAGCGCGGCUCUUACCCCCGGCUCUGCUCGCGAUGCGCAGAGGAUAGAUUGCGGGAGGAGAUAUGAAUACUUGUGGUGGAGCGGAGAAGUGCAGAUAUAUGGAGAAGAACAGCGGUGGCGAGCGCAGAUCUGUGCGGAUAUUCUGACUCUGAAGAGCAAAAGCGUGGAGAGAGCACGAGAUUAUAUACUGUGAUACUACACGGCGUACGCUGUGCGCUCUGUGUGUGCACAUAUUACACGGUGUCCGUGGCACAUAUCACAUAUUGUGUGCCGCCCGUGGAGAGUACGGCACGGCGAUAACUCUCAGGAGAUUUGACGGGGGCGCACACGCGCGGCAGAGUGUGUGUCUUAUUUCGCACACCGCAGAGACUCUUCACAAGGCUUGAUAUACAGCGGACAGCUUCAGACAUGGGCCCCUUUUGUGCUGUGUGCACGUGUGGCGCGUGUCUGUCUCUCUCGUGUCGUGAUAUUGUUGGGUUAAUGUCGGACACGAGCGCACUUUUGUCCUGUGUCACAGCAGGCUUGUGGUGGUGGUGGGACUCUCCGGGAGAGAGCGCGGGGG
rnacentral:rRNA from 1 species